rnacentral:lncRNA from 1 species
CUCACUCUUUCUUUCCUUCUCACCAAACACUCUCUUGUUCUUUCUUCUUUGUUUUCAUUUCACGCUCAUCACUCAUACCAUGUCAACUCCUAAUGAGAGCCUCCAUUUCUAUCAACAAAACUUCCCCACCACUGUCACCACCACCACCACCACCACCACCACCCACUCACCACCACAUCAAGAAGGCCGCAUCUCCAAGCCUACAAGGCGCCGAAGCAGGACUUCAAGGCGAACUCCCACCACCUUGCUCAACACAGACACCACUAACUUUCGUGCCAUGGUUCAGCAAUUCACUGGCGCUCCAACUCUUCCUUCCGCUUUGGCUUCCGGUUUUUGGUCCACUCCUCACCCAAAUCGGAUCAUCUUACCACCUUCUUCCACCUUUCAUCACCACCAACAACAACAACAACAGUUAUAUCAACACUACAACAUAGAAAGUAAUGGAGGAGGAGAGAAUAUGAAUAAUAGGUUUGUGGAGGGACUAAUCAGCAACAACAGCAACCAAACAACAAUUAAUGGUAGUGGUGAUGAUGGUAGCAGGUUAAUCUUCAUGGAUGAUCGUGAUGGAGGAGGACGUUUCUUCUUCCCCACUACUUGAUACUUGAUGUAAUCUAACAACACAUACAAUAAUGGAAAGAAGAAAGCAGAUAAAUUAGGUGCUGACUUAGAGGCGCCAUUGUUGACCAACCUAUCUAUACCCACUUCAUUCUUCUUUUAUACUUUUCCUUCUACAUCCCUUUCUUCUUUUUGCUUUUUAAUACUAUCAUGUAUAUUUCCCUUUUUAAUGUAUCUAUUUUACUCAAUAACAAACUAUCUAUUCAAAGUAACAUGUUAUACUUACUUCAUCAUAAAUAUA